rnacentral:rRNA from 1 species
UACGUAGGGUGCGAGCGUUAAUCGGAAUUACUGGGCGUAAAGCGUGCGCAGGCGGUUUUGUAAGUCAGAUGGGAAAUCCCCGGGCUUAACCUGGGAACUGCGUUUGAAACUACAAGGCUAGAGUGUGGCAGAGGGGGGUGGAAUUCCACGUGUAGCAGUGAAAUGCGUAGAGAUGUGGAGGAACACCGAUGGCGAAGGCAGCCCCCUGGGUUAACACUGACGCUCAGGCACGAAAGCGUGGGGAGCAAACAGG